UUGCUCCCUCCACCUUGAAUGGCCUGCUGCCCGUGUCUUCUGGCCACCCUAAGGUCCCAGCUCACGUUUCCUCCCCCAUGAAGGCUUCAUGACUCAGGGAAGGAUGAUCCCAUCCCUCCAACCCAUCUGCUGUAGGACUUACCACAAAGCCUACAGUGAUUUACCUUAUCAUGUCUCCUCUGCUAAACAUGGGGCUCUUACUCAUCUUUGUAUCCACAGCAGCAACUAUAGUGCCUGACACGUAACAGAUACUCGAGAAUUGCUUGUUUAGUGACCACUUUCAGAAAUGAAUGAAUGAAAACGAUGAAAUGCUUUAGAGUAGCUCUGUGGUAUUUUAUACUGAUUUUGUAAUACACGUAUAUUACUAUGCAUGAAUACUCCUUAAUAAAAAUUUUAUGGUAUAUAUUAUUAUAUUCAUGUGCAGUUAUUUAUAGCCCUCCUCUUUCCAAAAGAAGGAUUUGAGAGGGGCCAAACUAUGUAAAUAACCUUUAUAUCAUACCCACUUUAAAUCAAUUUAACAUUUAACCAAUUCCAGCUUUUAUCCAUUUAGCUGGAUGUUUACAGAUUAACAUCUUCCUUAUCUUCUUUAUUAAGAAAACGCCACAUUUCCAGGUUUUGACUUGUUUCAGAGGCAAAUAGUAAGAAAUACUUUUAAGUCUGAAAUAAUGAAGUUUCGUUUCGUGCUAAUCCUUUUAAGACAAAGGCCUAAAUGGGGUGAGGAUGUUGGAAAGCUCUAUCUGCCUUCUGGCUGGGCACGGGAGGGACACCUUCUUUCCUGGACUCUAAUUCUCUCUCUGAGUGGCACACCUUUCUCACAGCACCGAGCGGCUGGAAUGAUGGCUUCAGGAGGGGGAUCGGGAACAGAUGUCAUUCAUUGACUCUGGGUAAUGAGAUUUCAUAUUCCGUCAAAAUCCUGAAUAGGACAGGAGAGGCCUCAUUAGUGGUUUCGUGACUGAACAGGUGUAGAGGUCCCAUGCGCACAGCAGGUAGAGAGAGGCCAUUUCAAUUCCACGUGUAGAUGUAUC
rnacentral:lncRNA from 1 species